CAAUCUUGUAGUUCAUUUUUCUUCCAGUUUUUGUUGGUGCUAGACUUAUGGAUGAAGAAUCAUUAUGCUAUGACAUCUAGGAUCAACUUGUACUGUGUGUCAUGUUCUUUUUGUAAUUAUACUAGGAGUGUGGCAAAUUGUCCAGUUGAAGUUGGAGCUUGUUUGGUGUUGCCUUGUGUGAAUGGUGGCCUUCUAUUCAUGUUAGAAAUCUGCACACAAGGAGCAAGCUAUAUAGAUAGACUGAUAAUCAAACUGUAGGUGCAUUUGGCAUUUCUAUAUAGAACAUCCCUACAUGUUAUCUAGUGUACUGUGUUAGAGCAUCUCCAACAGCUUGUGUAUACCAUCGUCUAAAGGAGAUAUGGACAAUGAAGGCCCAAAAAUGCGUCCCAGCAGCUCGUCCACCAUGUCGUCUAUCCAUUCACAUUGUCUAGAAUUACCUCCACAUCGUCUAGACUUGGACAUUGUUGAGGCGUCGUCCAAAGCUGGAGGUACGCUGAGAUGUGAUGUGAGUCUUGUGUGUUUAUAUGGACGCGACACCAACCAAAGAGGAAAUUGCCAGUACUUGUUUAUCUGCAUAUGCUAUCUUUCUACUGCUGCUUCUUGUUUAUCUGUUGUUGCUAAUUUAUUAAGUGUUGCUGCUGUACUUAUUUAGUUAGAUUGAUUUUGAUAGAGUGCUCCUACAACCACCUCAUUUUUGCUAUUGUAUGAUACCUGUGUUGAUUAUUUGUGUUUGCGGAUGAAAUGUAAUCAUUAGGUUUAACCAAUGUAACUAUAAAUCGUUUGAAUUGUUACUGAAAUGGUAGUUAUAAGAUAAUAUUAAAAUAUAAGAGAGAGAAUAUAGACGUUUUGUAUAUAGACAUUCUGCUCCGAAACUGGACGUGUAUACGAAGGAACCUCUAUAGACCAUUAUCUAUAUGAAUAUAUAGACAUCCAAAUAUACACAUGCUGUUGGAGAUGCUCUUACUUCUAAUCUUGUUGCAUCCAGUUUCAGUUAAACUGUUUUCUUGCUACACGUGAGGUCUUCUAUAUAGAACAUCCCUUUGAUUCCGCUAAUAGUAAACUGAUAUUGCUUUUAGAAAUUUCUCUUUGAUGCAUUCAAAUAUUUAUUGUAGAAUUUUAUGUGGUCUCUGCUUUAAUGUGUCGUAGAACUUGGUUUUGUACAGUUGAGAAUGAAUAAGAGUUGGAUGCGAGCAGCAAGGUCUUCCGCCGAGUUUUCUGAAGGAACUAACAACUUCAUAAAAUUUGCUUUUCGUACGCCAGCAAAAAAUAAUAGGAUUCUCUGCCCUUGCAAGAUAUGUGUAAACUCUCGUUGGUUAGGUGAACUUAGAGUCUAUGAUCAUUUGAUUUAUGAUGGAUUCAUGGCUGGAUAUACCACAUGGGUUCAUCAUGGAGAAAGUAUGCGGCCCUCCGAAACAACUUCAGGUCCUAGUUCACAGUUUGAAGAAUAGGCUGAUAGUGAUGACAUGGAUGAGAUGCUACUGGAAGGAUUUGGGAUGUACAAUACUCAUAAUUUCGGAGAGGAGCGAGAGUCUCAAGAUGACUGGGACGAUGAUGCUGAAGCAUACUAUAGAUUAGUUAAUGAUGGACGCCAAGAGUUGUACCCAGGUUGCAAAAGAUUCUCGAAGCUGCAAUUUUUGGUGAGGUUGCUUCACAUCAAGAAUAUGAGGGGAAUGAGCAAUGUCUUCUUUGAUGAGGUAUUGAUGCUAAUUAAGGAGGCACUUCCAGAAGGUGAGGUCUUGCCCAAAAAAAUUUAUGGGGCCAAAAAGUUUGUGAGUGCCAUUGGUAUUGGAUAUGAUAGUAUAUAUGCAUGCAAGAACGAUUGCAUUCUAUUUAGGAAGGAACAUGCUGAUGCCAUAUCAUGUCCAGUGUGUGGCACAAGUAGAUGGAAGAGCGUAAAUACUGGAGUUAAUGGAAGGCGUGUCCACAAGGUGCUUCAAAAGGUGGUUCGUCAUUUCCCGCUAAAGAAGGGACUCCAAAGGUUGUUCGCUUCUACAAAGACGACAUCAGAUAUGAGGUGGCACAGCAAAGGCCGCACAAAGGACGACUUGAUAUGACACCCAGCCGAUUCACCUGCAUGGAAACACUUUGAUGCUAUUCACAAAGAGUUCAGUCAGAAGUUUGCAACAUUAGAUGUGGAUUGGGAGCUGAUGGUUUCAGUCCUUUUGGAAAUAUGAAUCUCUCAUAUAGCAUAUGGCCUAUCAUCUUGAUCGCCUACAACCUUCCUCCAUGGAUUUGUAUGAAGCAAUCAAACUUUAUCCUCUUUGUCAUCAUUCCUAGUAAAAAAUCUCCAGGGAAAGACAUGGAUGUUUACAUGCAGCUGACCAUAGAUGAUCUUUUGGAGCUUUGAAAUGAUGGAGUCUGGACUUAUGAUGCCUCUCGAUCUAAGAAGUUUCUCUUACAUGCCGCACUACUAUGGACAAUAAGGGAUUGGCCUAGGCGUGGAUUUUUGUCUGGAUAAAAUAUAGCAGUUUGCUCCCAUUGUCUAUCAGAGACACACUCUCUUUGGUUAAAGAAUGGACACAAGAAAUGCUAUAUGGGACAUCGCAGAUUCUUGGAACCUAAUCACGAGUUUUGAUUCGAUGCUGAGUCAUUUGAUGGUUUUGAGGAACAUCGAGAGCCUCAUGUUCCCCUUCAUCACAUGACAUUUCAAUAUUGACAAAUGACAUGAAAACUACAUAUGGGAAACUGCAGCAGAAGAGCAGCAGGAAGCGACACCGUAAUGAGGUAGAUGAGAAUGGUACAAACGUGCAGCAAGACACUUCAAUAUUCAGAAAGAGAAGUUUCUUCUUUCAUCUGACAUACUGGGAAACACUUCAAUUACGUCAUAAUCUGGAUCCUAUGCACAUAGAGAAGAAUGUUUUUGAGAAUAAUUCCCAUACCCUUCUAAAUGUUAGCAAAAGAUCAAAGGAUAAUCUAAAUGCAUGUCUUGACCUACAACAAUUGAAUAUACGCCAAGACCAACAUCCAUAUUUAACAGGGAGUAAACCAUACCUACCUCCAGCAUUAUACUACUUGGAUUCACACGGUGCUAACAUGUUUUGCCAGGUUCUAAAGGAUGCUAGGUUUCCUGAGGGCUAUGCAUCCAACUUGCACAACAAAGUGGAUAUAGUGAGAAAUAGAUUAAAUGGACUAAAGAGCCAUGACUGUCAUAUUAUAAUGCGUGAUCUGUUGCCCUUAGCCAUUAGGAGAACUUUGCCUGAAGAUGUUUGUAUUCCAUUGAUGCAUUUGUGCAACUACUUCAAGCAAUUAUACUCUAAGGUUAUCACUGUGAGUGAGAUACAAAAGUUGGAGGACGAGAUUCCUGAAAUCAUGUGCCAAUUGGAGAAAGUAUUUCCUCCUGCCUUUUUUGACAUCAUGGAACACUUGACCAUUCAUCUUGCAACUGAAGUACAGACUACUGGACCGGUGCAUUACUGAAGCAUGUGGGCUGUUGAGAGGUUUUUGGGCAAGUUGAAGAGUAUGAUCCAUACGCUAAGUCACCCAGAGGGAUCAAUAGCAGAGGGAUAUGUUUUGGAUGAUACUCUUACAUUUUGCUCAUGAUAUUUGCAUGGUUGUCCAACCAUAUUCACUCAAAUAGGACGACAUAAUGAUUUUAUUGGCCCCAAUGACUCGACAAACCAUCAACCAUACUUGAGAAUAGUCGGUCGUCCUUUAUUUGGUCAUUGUGUUGAAGAACUAGACUACACGUCAUGGGUCCAAGCUCAAAGAUAUGUGUUGGUCAAUUAUCCCCACAUUGCUCCAUAUGUCUAGUAAGUUUCUCAUCACUUGUUCCACACUCUCCAUACUCUCUGAACUAGCAGUAACCCUCUCUCAUAUUCAUGUAGACAACAUCACGAUAUUCUAUCAGUGGGUCAACGCAAAAGAAUACGUGAUGUAGAAUGCUCCCAUCAAAAUAGUUUCCACACUAGGUUUGCUGACCGUGUAAGUGUCUAUGAUCUCAUGCUAAAAUUCUUAAAGCGCCUCAUGUGGAGAUAUUGCAUUGACUAUGUUAUGUCUCUAGGUUCAGUCAUUGAUUUCCAAUAAUGUUAAGAUCCAUGAAGAAGUUAAAGUCUUAGCACAAAAGCCAUAUGGGAUGGUGAGAAAGUACAAUGCUUACUCUAUAAAUGGAUGCACUUUCCACACAAGGGGAUAUGGUGAUGGAAAAGAAGCGCAAUGUGAUGGAGUAUCUAUGAUUGCUAAGACAUCUAGUUUCUCAAGUGCUAAAGGUAAUAAUCCAGCUUUAGGAGAUGUUGCUUACUAUGGACGAAUCACUGAAAUAGUUGAGCUGAAUUAUUCAAACAAAGGCAACGUGGUUUUAUUCAAGUGCUAUUGGGUUGAUAGUGUUCGCCCUGAUGCUAGGGUUCGAAAGGACCCAUAUGGAGUAACUGAGGUGACUUUUAACCACUUGCUAAGCAGCAGUAGUGAUAUAUUUGAUGAGCCAUUUAUCCUUGCAACUCAAGCCACCCAAGUCUAUUAUGUACAAGAUUCUAUAGAGAAGGAUUGGUAUGCCGUGGUUCAUCCACCUACAAGAGACUUCUUUGAUAUGGAUGCUAGAAGUGAUGGGAAUGAUGAAUAUUAGGCUAGGAUCAGGUGAGAGUUAUUGUUUGUUUUUCACUAAAUGUCGAUUGGGGAGUUGCCAUCAUUGUUGUUUUUAUCUUAUUUUUGAUACUGUCUUUUCUAACUGAGUUUUGAAUUGUACAUGCCAGGAAAUAUGAUGACUUCGGGAUCAAGAUCUGAUGCAUUCAAUCAGACCCAUGUGUCUGACCAUGAACGAAGGUUGAAUGAGCUGAAUUAUAGAGAGUCAGAGAACUUAAUCUGCCACAAAUGGAAUGCAUCGAUGUUAUCAAACAAAUUAAAACAGAAGCUUCAAACAGGGAUAAAUUAAAACACUUCACUAUGGAAUUCCACAACUGAAGAAGAUGUUGACUUAAGGAUCCAUGAGGGAAGUGGUGAUGAAACUGAAUCAGAAGAUGGAGAAGAUGACGAUGAACAUGGUGAUGAAACUAAAUCAGAAGAUGAAGAAGGUGAGUCUGAACAAGAAGAUGAACAUGAACAAGAAGAAGAAGUUCGACAAGAAUAGGAGCAAACACAUGAAGUUGCUGAGAAGAUUAGAAGAGGACCUACUCACAUGAGGCGCUUCUAGAAAGAACAUGAUGUUGAUAACAAGAUCAAUUUGAAGUUCAACAGAUUUGGUCAGCCAUGUGGUUUGAAGACAUGCAAGCUGACAAAUUUUAUUGGAACACUUGAGAAAGGAAAAGAAAUGUCCUUAGCUGCUCAAAACUGGAGCAAAGUACCAAAGUUAGAGAAAGAGAAGUUGUGGGAUUCUAUCCAGGCAUUUCUCAACAUUGACGAGUCAUACAAAAGAUGGGUGUUGAGAUCAGCAAGUAAAAAACGGAAAGACUUCAAGGUUGUUUUAAAGAGGAAAUACUACAAAGCUGAUUUGUCACGAGCAUGGAAUAUUCUUAAUGGUUGUGAUAAUAGAAUCCCAAUUAGACAGUGGGAGUGGCUAGUAAAACACUGGAGAAUAGAGAAAGCUAAUGAAAAAUCUGAAAGAAACAAGGCUACUCAGGCAUCGCAACUCGAGGGAUGCAAUGGGACCCACACCGCUAGGUCACGAAGUUUUGCAGUUGUCCUUGAUCAAAUGGAGAUGGUAGAGGGUAGGGAAAUUGGGCGUGCCGAGCUUUACGUGGUUACAUAUACGAAAAACAAUGGAUAUCCAGUCAACCAACAAAGUGGAGUAAAAAUGGAUGACAUUAAAAAAGGAUUCAAGCAGAUCCUUAUUUGAUUGGUGAGGAGGCCCAUGAUGGUGAUCUUUAUUCAUCAAUUUUCCCAAAAGAAAAGAAAGGAAGGCUAAGUGGCCUUGGUCUGUUAGUAGGUGGAGUUUCUUCGGAGCGCCUUGCUCAAGUUGAAGCUGAACUACAUGCUACUAAAUAAGAGAACAUGGAGCUUCUACAUGUGGUGCAUACUCUGGUGGCAAAUCAAACUUCAAUAAUGGCCAAGAGUGAGAGAAUGGAAGAACAGUACAAUGAGCUAAAGAGAUUGAUCAUAGCUUCUAGGGGGUCUGUUGAAAUGGGAAGAAUUCCAGAAAAGGAGCUUCCAAAUAAAGAUCCUUCUAAGGACUUGGAAACCAUGAAUGACAAAGAACAAGCAACUUCACUUUCAUAUACUACCAAGGCAUCUGAGGCAAUGGCUGCUCCAAGGCAUCCAGAUAAGGUGAAGGCAUCCCAACUGGAAUCAAAGAAAACAGAAUCAGCACUACCAAGUCUUGCGCCUGUGCCAAAACCAAAGAAGACAAAGACAACUAAACAUAAGAAACCAGAAAUAUUUCAAACACCGCUCCAAAAGGGGCCAAAGAUUAAGACUUAGAGUCAUUUGGAUCAGUGCCAAGACUUAGAGUCAACGGUUUCAUCAAGUAGAUAUACCCAUAUCUGCUCAAAUCAUCUGUGAAGGUCAGAAAAUAACGAUACCCGC